UUUGCUCACACUCUAACCUGUUCAAAGGCGGACCCUAACGACGUCAGCAAGCUGUCGUCACCAGGAUGCCAAUGAGAAGCCAGUUGGAACAGCCCUAAAGGUAUUCGUUGCAAUCCUCAAUCCCGACCACCACAUUCCGCUAAAGGUUAUAACACUCCCGAAGGAGCCACAUCCCUCCAGCCUUUUUAUGACGAUCGAAAUUGAUGUUAACCAGCGGACACGAAAGUGCUCCAUUUCACCAAGAGUUCACGCUUCGCGACGGUUUUGAGGCUCGCCACGCCAUGCGAUC
rnacentral:rRNA from 1 species